rnacentral:rRNA from 1 species
UGGGGAAUAUUGCGCAAUGGGCGGAAGCCUGACGCAGCGACGCCGCGUGGGGGGUGAAGGCCUUCGGGUUGUAAACCUCUUUCACCAGGAGCGAAUCCAGACGGUACCUGGGGAAGAAGCGCCGGCUAACUACGUGCCAGCAGCCGCGGUAAUACGUAGGGCGCAAGCGUUGUCCAGAAUUAUUGGGCGUAAAGAGCUCGUAGGCGGCCUGUCGCGUCCGCUGUGAAAUCCUGGGGCUUAACCCCGGGCGUGCAGUGGAUACGGGCUGGCUAGAGGCAGGCAGGGGAGAACGGAAUUCCCGGUGUAGCGGUGAAAUGCGCAGAUAUCGGGAGGAACACCGGUGGCGAAGGCGGUUCUCUGGGCCUGUUCUGACGCUGAGGAGCGAAAGCGUGGGGAGCAAACAGGAUUAGAUACCCUGGUAGUCCACGCCGUAAACGUUGGGCGCUAGGUGUGGGGCCCUUCCACGGGUUCUGUGCCGCAGCUAACGCAUUAAGCGCCCCGCCUGGGGAGUACGGCCGCAAGGC